rnacentral:rRNA from 1 species
GGUCUGGCCGGGCGGUCCGCCCUCUGGGUGAGCACUGUUCCGACGUCGGGCCUAUCCUUCUGGUGAGUCGGCAUGUCCUUUAUUGGGUGUGUCGGGGAACCAGGACCAUUACCUUGAAAAAAUUAGAGUGUUCAAAGCAGGCGUAUGCUCGGAUACAUUAGCAUGGAAUAAUGAAAUAGGACGCGUGGUGCUAUUUUGUUGGUUUCUAGAACCGCCGUAAUGAUUAAUAGGGAUAGUUGGG